CUUGGAGAGUUUUCUAAGAGUAUUGAACCGUUUGGAAAAAUUUAAUAGAUUUUCAAUCGAGAUUUAAUGCAUAUGAGGAUUUCAGGCUGAGUGCGGAACCAGGGACCCAGCCAUAAUCUAUCCUAUUGGAAGUUUGUGGAUUAUAGCCAUAGAUACAUAGAGGGGUCUGUAUGCCCCCACAGUCCCUGGUUUGGUGAAUUGGUUCCUCUGUCUUGAAUUUGUUCCCUGAUGUCCUCCUUCUGGAGAAGGAAUUGUCCCAUGUAAGCGUAGAGUUCUCUCAGAGCUUUCAGCCGUGCU